rnacentral:tRNA from 1 species
ACCUGGCUGGCUCAGUCAGUAGAGCGUGUGACUCUUGAUCUUGGUGUUGUAAGUUUGAGUCCCACGUUAGGUG